GUUAUGCUUCAAUAAAAAAGAAGACAAAGUGUCUUUUUGAAUAUAUUGCUAAGUACGAGUUACCAUAGAGAGCUCACCUUGACUGGAGAGGCCUGAGUGAAGUACACCACUGCAGUUUGCCCUGGAGGGACGACCCUGCUCCUUUAAAUCUCCAUUCAUCUAAUUCUCUCAAGAAUGGGCGGUGAGACCCUCCCCAGCCAAGGCUCCAGCAUCUAGAAAUACAGAUUCAGCUGAAAGCAGAGAGACGAAAUCGAGAUUGCUGCUGAAGGCGAUCACUGCUGGAAGACAACUGUCCUGGAAAGUAUUUUCCUGCGUCAGCUAAGGAGCGAGGACACUACAGCAGUGGCUGAGCUUGCAACGGGAUUCCAGACAGCUGCUAAGACCGGACAGUGUGCGGCAAGGUAGCGUUUCCCGCAAGGAGGCUCUGAGAGGUCCUUAUCUGAAGCUGUUAAGGGUCUCACUGUGUGUCACUGGCUGGCCUAGAAUUACUC